AACGAACGCUGGCGGCGCGUCUUAAACAUGCAAGUCGAACGAUCUGUAGCAAUACAGGGAGUGGCGGACGGGUGAGGAACACGUAGGAAUCUACCUAGAAGAGCGGGACAACUUUGGGAAACCGGGGCUAAUACCGCAUAGUACAGAGAUGUUAAAGGGCUAGCAAUAGUCGCUUCUAGAUGAGCCUGCGGUCUAUCAGCUUGUUGGUGAGGUAAUGGCUCACCAAGGCAGCGACGGAUAGCCGGUCUGAGAGGAUGAUCGGCCACACUGGCACUGAGACACGGGCCAGACUCCUACGGGAGGCAGCAGUUAAGAAUCUUGCGCAAUGGGGGAAACCCUGACGCAGCGACGCCGCGUGAAGGAUGAAGGCUUUCGGGUUGUAAACUUCGGUAGACUGGGAAGAAGAACUACGUUCGUUGAGGGCGUAGAGUGACGGUACCAGUCUGAAGCCCCGGCUAAUUACGUGCCAGCAGCCGCG
rnacentral:rRNA from 1 species